GUAGGUGAACCUGCGGAAGGAUCAUUACAGAGUUCAUGCCCUUCGGGGUAGAUCUCCCACCCUUGUGUAUCAUUAUAGAAUGUUGCUUUGGCGGGCCGCGCCUAGUGUGCCUGGAUUCGCGUCCAGCGUGCCCGCCAGAGGACCCUAAACUCUGUUUAUACAUGUCGUCUGAGUACUAUAUAAUAGUUAAAACUUUCAACAACGGAUCUCUUGGUUCUG
rnacentral:misc_RNA from 1 species